rnacentral:rRNA from 1 species
UACGUAGGGUGCAAGCGUUAAUCGGAAUUACUGGGCGUAAAGCGUGCGCAGGCGGCUUUGCAAGACAGAUGUGAAAUCCCCGGGCUUAACCUGGGAACUGCAUUUGUGACUGCAUAGCUAGAGUUUGUCAGAGGGGGGUGGAAUUCCACGUGUAGCAGUGAAAUGCGUAGAGAUGUGGAGGAACACCGAUGGCGAAGGCAGCCCCCUGGGACCUGACUGACGCUCAUGUACGAAAGCGUGGGGAGCAAACAGG